rnacentral:rRNA from 1 species
UACGUAGGGACCAAGCGUUGUUCGGAUUUACUGGGCGUAAAGGGCGCGUAGGCGGCGUAUUAAGUCAGCUGUGAAAUCUCCAAGCUUAACUUGGAACGGUCAGCUGAUACUGAUGUGCUAGAGUGCAGAAGGGGCAAUCGGAAUUCUUGGUGUAGCGGUGAAAUGCGUAGAUAUCAAGAGGAACACCUGAGGUGAAGACGGGUUGCUGGGCUGACACUGACGCUGAAGCGCGAAAGCUAGGGUAGCAAACGGG